GUUGCUCUUAAUCUUUUUCAGGGGCACAUGGGAAGAAGAUCCAAAACAGUGGCCAUCCAUCUGUUUUUGCAUUUCCUGACUGCCUGAAUUAGCAAUAUCCUAGGUAGUCAGUUCUGUCACUCCAAAGGUGCGUUCACUUGUACUUGAGUACCAUGCCAUCUCAGCAGGCUUCUGAGCUCAGUUUUUUGGCGGAGCAAAGUUCAAGGGGAAGUCUAAGUGAGAGGCCAACACACAGCAUCCAUUUCUUCAUGUCUGUAUAUCUUUUUCAAUUCAGAUUCAGACAAAAUCUGCCAUAUGAUUAAGUUUCCUUCCAAUUUUUUUACAUGCUGUUUCUCAUGCAGUUUGAAUGUAUGUCCUUAUUAAUUAGCAAGAGCUUAUGAAAGGCAGAAAUAAAAUCCAAGAACAAUGGAGAUGAGUGUGAAACUAAGGUACAGAGGCUUUAGAACUGCUACAAACAAAGAAAACGGCCAGGAAAGAAGAAAAGCAAGCUCUCAGUAGUUUUAAAGUAGGGGAGAAAAAAAAUAAGGUUUGGGGAGGACACCAGUUCCAGCAAGCCAAGUUUUCUUGGCUGAAGAGGAGCUGUUCUUCAUCUUCAGCUAAGCCCAGCUUGUAUUUAACAACCUAAUUAUUCUUGCUUAACAACCACAGCUCUCCAUCUCAGCCCUCGGCCCUGUGCUGAAUGCAGUUUGUUGCUCGCUGUCCAACACGUUUGCUGCAACCUGAGGCUCUGCAUUUUGACAAGACUCCUAUGAGCCCUUCUGACCUUCCCAGCGUCAUUGCAGGUGCUCAGACAAUGGCUGUUCUGCACAAAAGAGAGCUGAGAGAUGUAGGAAUGAAGAGAAAUUGGAAAAGCACAAUUUUAGCCUGGGAGGAGAGGAAUAAAGAAAUUGAGACUUAUCUUCAUGUUGACAGAAUCGCAAAAUUGUGGAACUGUAGUGACUCCAUCAUCACCGAAUUUCAGUAGAAGUGUGGCACAUCCCAGGAUAGAUUCCACCACAGUGGAAGCACAACCCUCAGGGUUCCCUCUUGAACACAUGGAAAUCAGGCUCCAGCUCUUCUUGUUAGCUCUAGCUCUAAAGACAUUAUGCGCUUGACAUGCCAGCUCAGGAAGCUGAAUGCCAGAGGUCUGCUUUAUUUGGGCAGUAAUCAACGAGACUUGUAGGUUUACCUAAGGACUUCCGCAUCAGUUCUCCAGAAGGAAUUUUCCUGGCCAUCUCAACACAUUCACAUCACAUUGCAGCACAGCAGCUGGCUGACCCAGUUCUACCUACCCUAACCCAUCCUACCUGUUCCGAAGCACUUACCCCCAACAUUAGGAAUGAGACCUUCGCUAUCAUCGCACUCCCUCCAUGAUGUCAUUACGUGGUUGGAAUAACAGAAGACAAUACUUCAUCAUUCUCCUCAUCAAUUGAAAGGUUUUUCACGUGGUAUGGAUGUACAUAAAAUUCUCUGAUCCUUAUAUAUGUGAGUAAGAGUGGAAAAGGAAAGAAUUCAAGAGUUGUUUUUUUGUUGUUGUUGUUUUUUUGGUUUUUUUUUUUCUACUGAUGUUGGAAUGCUCUUCAAUGCAGUUUUUUUCAGGCCAUGGAGCUCAGAGAUGCAUCUCAUGCUAAGCAGGUUUGCUGUACAUGCUCAUUCCUGUUUAAGUCAGCUGUCUUUUCUGAAUUUUACAGCGACACACUGGUAGAAGCAUCGAAGAGCAAGCAAGGAUUAGUAAAAUAAUCUCUAGUGGCACCCUCCAUUCUGCUCUAAAGCAUCAGGAGAAUAAGAGAAUAGUUGAUGUUCAGAGGAAAGAAUGAUAUUUGCUAUCAUACAACUCUGUUUUUUCUCCUUUAUUCAUGGGUGAAGCUUCAAUCAUUCAAAAACCCUCUAAAUGCAAAGAUUUGUUUCUAGUUGAAUUUAUUCAAUCUAUUUGUUUAUCAGGAAGAAGACAGAAGAAAAAAAAAUCUCCUUUACAUCCCCUAUUAAAAAAAAAACAAACAAACAAAUCUCUGAGUAUUGAGGCAAUUACUUUUAUAUGUUCCAGCACUUUUCCACCGAAGAAUCAUCAAAUUGAUGCACCCUGCUGAUUGAAUGAGGGCCAAAUCCUUUGGGAAGAAAGAGGGAAAACAAAAAACAACAUGAAAUCAUGUGGUCAUAUAGUACAUGUAAGGGGUGUUUUGCAGCUCUAGAGUAUAUGUUUAUAUGAUUUUUAUUUAUUUUUUUUCCUCUUUUAGGGAGGAUUUAUCGGUCUCUUAAUAUAAGAUGUACGUUUUUUACAUGGUGUACUUGUAACUGUGGCUUGUGCCUCUUCUUUGUUUCCCCUACCUUUCAUCUGUCUUAGCUGUUGCUUUAUAUCUACCUCAAGACUGAAAGCUUUUAGGGCAGGAAAAUUAUCCUCCUGUAAGUCUGGAAAGCAACUAGCAUUUGACAAUAUCAUAACUGUUGUAAUAAUGAUAGCCUGAGUUACCAUUUUAAGUUGCGAAAUGUCACUGCUUAGAGACAGGACUUAAGAGCAUACAUUCUUAAGGAAAACUCUAUUUUGGUGUUGAAUGUCUCAGCAUUUAUAAGGAUGAUAAAUGUUUAUUCUUCAGUGUGUUUUAAAACUGGAUGUGGUGCUCAUGGAUGUGAUUUAGCACUAUGUUGUUAGAGUUAGGGUAGUAUUGUUAGGUUGAAGUUGAUGUUCUUUAAGGUCUUUUCCAACCUGAGCAGUUCUAUGAUUCUGUAAUUUCAAAAAGCUGAUCUUAGAUCUGAGCAAUUGCUAGCUAUUUUGAAGAUUUUCUGUAUUUGGCAAGAGCAUGCAGGAAAAAAUGUUCCUUCCACUUUACUGGGUGUUGCUGGUGUAACUUGUCCUACAGGAGUCAGCAUGGUGAAAGAAGGGAACUUUCAAAGAAAGGGAAGAAUCAGAUCAAACUCUUCUGGAAUAUGUAAGUAUUUCAAGUCUAUUGCAUCUGAAAAUACUGUGUUAGACAUGCAUCAAGCAAUAAAACAUAUCUGGCAAAAGCUUUCUAGUUACUGUCAAGGUGAGCUUCCCACUGAGUCUUCAUCAAAGUUUUAACCCAAACAAUGAUAAUCAACAGAGAUAGUGACAAAUGGAAAGGAAGUGAGGAAGAAUAGUGACAUUUGGUGCUGAACCAUAUGUGCGUGGUUUGAAAGACAUGACUGAAUUGUUUUUGGUGCUCUAUUAUUCUGACAUUUAGAAUGAGGCAAGUUUCCAUUUCCAUUAAUGUACUGCCAACUCAAAGGGGAACUGUCGCAAAUUUGAGACUAAAGAAAGCUGUUCCUCAAACUUCUCUUGAGCAUAAUCAGUGUCCUUGCUAAGCAACAGUGUAGUACCACGAUAUAUAAUCUAAAUGAUUCUUACAGUUUCUGCUUCUUGAAUACAAGUAUAUGUUUUAUACCCCAUGAUGAUUUGGCAUCGCUUUCUUUGAUAAAAGAUCAUGGAUUUAUCUAUGAAUGAAGAGCAACUGGUGCAAAGGAUCUCUGUUCAUCAAGAUUUUCUGAAUGCUAACCUGGCAGGUACAGCUACUGACAAAGUGACCCAGCUUUAGCGGAGGUCAUUCAGAGGAAAGAACCUGAAAACUUAACAUCUUUUUAAACUGUAUCAAAACCUCAGAAUUGUUUGAAGGAAUAGUGGAACAACCAUCAACUUUCUAUAUCCCAUUUAAAGUCCCUAGAUACCUUUACCAAAAGAGGAAAGGUGGGGAAGAGAAGAGAGAGAAGGAGGAAUCAGAAGGUAGCACAAGGUGACUUGGCAAUCAGGAUCCUGCAAGGAAGCUCUGGACUCCAUUCUUCUCUAAAACAGCUUCUAGUUGCUGAAAUCUUUUUAACUCUUCAGCAGCUUUACAAACAACUUGAAAUUAAGGGAUUCUCCUGACUUUGUGCAACAAUAGAUGAGCUGAGGAUGACAGUGAUUAAAAACUGAAGGGAUAAUAAUUCAAAAUCAAAGUCAUCAGUGUGUGCUUUCUUUACUAAUUAACCUUUUCCCCGUGUGACUGCUUUUCUCUAAAGGUUUGGUCUUUGGCUCAACUUAAUUCUUCCAGGAGGCAGUGAUUGUUCUUCAGUAAUAGAAGAAAUCAGUCAUACUAGCUGCCAUACUGACUGUGUGAUAUUAUUCUUUGUGUGAUUCUGACAACGGUUUAAGAAAACUUCCAAGUAAUAAACUGCAUUUUUUUACUUAAUUCCUUUCCCAUGGUGGACUUGGGUCCCAACUUGCACCAUUUCACCCUCACUCACUGGAAGAACAAACUCACCCAGUCUUCAAAUUAGUGCUGUGCUUCAAAUCACAGUCCUGAGCUGAUCCUGCUCUCCAACUCCUCCUGAUGCUUGUUCUUGGAGCAGUCUACAGUCAGCCAGAAGCUCAUUUCCUUGCAUGAUUCACAAAUUCCUUUGAGACCAUCAGGACUUUGAUACCAUCAUGCACACUUUUUUUCUUUUUAGUUUGAUAAAGAAUGAGGAAGUUGCUACAGUGUGGCUUUUGCACCCCUUUUUGUGGUAUUUGUUCAUUCUGCUAGCAGAAAACAGGUUGAGCAAUACACACAUGUCCAGAUAUUACAGAUACAUCUUGAAUUUAAAAAAAAUGAAUUUAUUGCUAGAAAAGUUGGCAAGACUGGCAGUCAUAGCAUCACAAUCCCUGCAUGGAGAAGGUGAUAGAAAGAUUAAAUAUCCUGUAAUAAUGAUGUGUACAUUCCUUCAAAACAUCCUUCCAUUUGAUCUCAAAAAUUGGACCUUUGAUGAAAAUAUGAGCCAUGAAAUGAAUAAAGGCAAAGAAUAACCAGCAGAAAUAUCAAGGGAGAGGUGCAGUUUGAGUAUAAAUCACAGAAUUUACCUUGGAAAGGAUGCAAGCACAAUCCCUAGAAUUAGAGCAGAUUUGUGAACUGAAUAUUGAGUUUACCUCCCUUUAAAUUCUAGGCGAAUCAGGAAUAUGAGUAAUGCAAUGCCAUGUGAGGUGGGGAAGUAAAUGAAACCUGGAAAGCAGCCAAAUAGAAAAGAAAGUAAAAAACAAAGACAAAAUCAGAAAAUCUACUGCUCUGUCUGCAAUGGCUGUUGACAAAAAUACCACCUUGGAUAGUUACACCUUCAAACGAAAUAGGCUUGAACUCCUAUUUGACAUAAGGAAUUGAAAAACUAUGAGCUAGAGUAGAUAAUUACCAUUCUGCGCUGCAUUUUGCUUUGUGCCUUUUGGCCCACAGACACCACCCACUGAACAUUUGCCUUUGAAGCGCUUCACCUUCUGUGUGGCAUGAGUGACUUCUUGGUUAUUCUGUCUCAAUUUGCUACAGAUAGGUUCAGAAGUAUCCAAGAUGUUUAUUUUUUUAUUAUUUUUUUUUAAUUAUUUUUUUUUUAGAAUUACUACAGCAUCUGAUGUUCAAAGCAACCACCUUGGUGGGAAUGGAUGGAUAGCUUGGAUUACUCGGGCAAGGCCAGGCCAAGAAUAAACAGAAUGGGUUGAGAAGUCUCAGCGAGAGCAUAGAGUUCAUUUAUCCAGCAAAGCAGAACAAAUCACUUGCUCUUCAGUCAAGUACCAGAAGGAGCUUCGAGAAGGUGACCCACAUGACUCCUAUCUUAACUUAUCUGCUGUGGUCCCAGCAGUGAUUCAUGAUCAUAUCAAAUCCAUCUCCCUGGUGUUGUUUUGUCCUUAAGGCUUCGGCAAUUGCAGAGAUUGGCUAGAGACUCCAAUCAACCAUCUGGUGUCUGCCAACUGUACCGUCUAGCCAGGUUACACUGAACACAGAGAGAAAUGUGCUUUGUAUUUGGAUCCUUAAUAUGCAUAUCAUUUCCCUUGGAACAAGCAGAAUAUCAACGGGUUGCAACUCCAAAGAACUGGGAUGGCAAUAGAAGAAAACCCCAGAUGUAAAGAGAAUAAAUCAAGUCAGCUCUAAAACUUGACUGAAUGGAUAUACUAGUAAAAUGUAUGCUGCAGCUCUGUACUGGCAAGGGUUGGAUUUAGUAAGUGAUGCAAGUUUUUUCAUCAGUUCUACCUACAAUUUUAUGAGCUGGUUUUAAUUGUUUUAAGUUAUUAGAAUGUUGUAAAGACAGAUUUUUUUUUUUUUCCUUUAAAUUCUACCUGUCCUCUAAAUAAUAGAAAGGAAAUAUUAGGAGCCUGAAAAACUCAUUAUAUGCAUUUUGCCAAAUAUUUUUUCUGAGCAGACUGCAUCAGUCAGUGCUUUGCCAUAGACUGCUUUACUCUGUGUGUUUUGAGAUUAAUCUUUCCUCCUAGAUCUCUCUCCUUUUUUCCCUUCUCGCAAGGAUACCAUCCAACUUGAAAUACAGAUGCUUUUGCCAUAUUCAGCCUUAGCACAUUAUUGCCAUGUGAAAAGUCCUAUUAGUGAUAAGCCUUUAAUGACAAGCUUCUUACUCAACUGAUUUCCUUCUACCAUGACAAGUUUUAUCACAGGCUUACACGAUCACAACAGCCAAGUCCCUUAAAAGGAUGUUCAGGAAACUUAUUUUCAAAGGUGGCAGCACUACCUGCCUCAUCUUAAGUGCCUCUAGACAGAGGGCACUAAGAGCAGGUCCCCUCCCAGCGUGUCAACACCUCAGUUUCCCAUCACUGAACAUCAGCAGCAGUCAGUGCAUUCUUGAAACAAUUUUAAUAUUACCACUUGCUCCUGACUGAACAGCACCAGCUAUUCAUGUUUCAUAGUUUCAUAGUUUCAUAGUUUCGUGCGGGUUGGAAGGGACCUUAGAGAUCAUCGAGUCCAGCCCCCGGGAUUCGAGCCUCUG